AUACGGAGGCUGCGAGCGUUGUUCGGAAUCACUGGGCGUAAAGGGCGCGCAGGCGGAUUGGUAAGUCAGAUGUGAAAGCCCACGGCUUAACCGUGGAAGUGCAUUUGAAACUGUCAGUCUUGAGUACCAGAGGGGAAAGUGGAAUUCCCGGUGUAGAGGUGAAAUUCGUAGAUAUCGGGAGGAAUACCGGUGGCGAAGGCGACUUUCUGGCUGGAUACUGACGCUGAGGCGCGAAAGCGUGGGGAGCAAACAGGAUUAGAAACCCUAGUAGUCC
rnacentral:rRNA from 1 species